rnacentral:lncRNA from 1 species
GCGCGAAGCUUUUCCGGCGAGUGAUUGGGCGGCGUGGGCGCAGCGAUUCAAGCGAGCAAGAGAGGGGAAGGAGAGAGGGGCACGCUGGCUAUAUAGGGCCGUGGGUGGGAAGGCACGGGAGGCACGGGAUGGGGAGAUCACGGCGGUGACGGCGUGCGGCGGCGAAGAAGGAAGGCGGCGCGCGUCGCGGGCGCCUUCCAAACGGGGAAGAAGCCCCUGACAGGUGGGCCCCACCUGUCAGCGGGUGCGGGUGCGGCGCGGGCGAGCGGCUGGGCCGGCUGGGCGGCGGCGCGCGUGAGGGAGUUGGGCCGGUUCGGCCCAAUUCGUCCGGGCCGGUCCGUACCUCCCUUUUUUUUUCUUUUACCCUUUUCUUUUUCUGUCUUUCUUAUUCCUUUGAUAUCUUUUGAUUUUGAACUCCAUAUUGGUCCAAAUAAAUUCCAGAAAAUUUGCAAAAUCAUGUUCUACCAUGAUUCAACUUUUGGGAGUAGUUUCCCCUCAAAAUAAAAUAUAUAAAAAUACAUUUGCCCUAUAAAUGCCUCUAGGACUAUAUAUCUAUUUAAAUAAAAUACUUUUUCAACUCCAAAUAAUUAUCCAAAAAUUAUGGGAUAGCUUAUAUAUGCAUUAAACCCCUUUUAUACACAGAACCUAUUGGUUUGAAGAUCCAAAGUUCAAAUGGGUGUAAACCCUAAGGUUCAAGUUGAAAUUAAAACUUUUAAAGCCUUUUUAAGAUUCAAAUUUGAAUUCAAACAUGCAAUUGUGGCAUGAUGCUCAUGGGUGCAAUGCAUAUGUAAAAGUUUGAAAUUUUGGGAUGUUACAUACCUAACCCCGUUAAGAUGAAUCUCGUCCUCAAGAUUCGGUGUGGCUAGCAAAGAGGCGUGGGUGGUCUUCUCGAAGAUCAUCUUCGCGUUCCCAAGUGGCUUCUUCUUCUGUAUGAUGGUCCCACUGGACUUUGCAAAACUUGAUGGUCUUGGAUCGGGUUUGUCUCUCCGCUGUGUCCAAGAUUCUGAUCGGUUUCUCCUCAUAGGUGAGGUCACUCUGCAAUUGAACUUCUUCAAGGGGUAUUGUAUCCCUUAGUGGUGUGUCGGCCAUCUCGGGGUGACACCUUUUUAGUUGUGAUACAUG